rnacentral:rRNA from 1 species
GGAGGUGGGAACCCCCUCGGGGGCGCACCAUCGACCGAUCCAGAUGUCUUCUGAUGGAUUUGAGUACGAGCAUAGCUGUUGGGACCCGAAAGAUGGUGAACUAUGCCUGAAUAAGGUGAAGCCAGAGGAAACUCUGGUGGAGGCUCGCACCGGUUCUGACGUGCAAAUCGAUCGUCAAAUUUGGGUAUAGGGGCGAAAGACUAAUCGAACCAUCUAGUAACUGGUUUCUGUCGAAGUUUCCCUCAGGAUAGCAGUAACGAUUUCAGUUUUAUGAUGUAAAGCGAAUGAUUAAAGGCCUUGGGGCUGAAACAGCCUUAACCUAUUCUCAAACUUUAAAUAUGUAAGAAGUCCUUGUUACUUAUUUGAACGUGGACAUUUGAAUGCACCGUUACUAGUGGGCCAUUUUUGGUAAGCAAAACUGGCGAUGCGGGAUGAACCGAACGCGAGGUUAAGGUGCCGGAAUGCACGCUCAUCAGACACCACAAAAGGCGUUAAUUCAUCCAGACAGCCGGACGGUGGCCAUGGAAGUCGGAAACCGCUCAGGAGUGUGUAACAACUCACCGGCCGAAUGAAUUAACCCUGAAAAUGGAUGGCGCUCAAGCGUGCUACCUAUACCUCGCCGCCAGGGUAGAAACGAUGCCCUGGCGAGUAGGCAGGCGUGGGGGCCCGUGACGAAGCCUUGGGGGUAACCCCGGGUCGAACGGAC